rnacentral:rRNA from 1 species
UACGUAGGGAGCAAGCGUUAUCCGGAUUUAUUGGGUGUAAAGGGUGCGUAGACGGGAAGUCAAGUUAGUUGUGAAAUCCCUCGGCUCAACUGAGGAACUGCAACUAAAACUAACUUUCUUGAGUGCUGGAGAGGAAAGUGGAAUUCCUAGUGUAGCGGUGAAAUGCGUAGAUAUUAGGAGGAACACCAGUGGCGAAGGCGACUUUCUGGACAGUAACUGACGUUGAGGCACGAAAGUGUGGGGAGCAAACAGG